CCUCUGGAAUGCUCACACUUACAAAAAGAGCGCUCUGCAGAAAAUCAGCUUGAUUCAGAGGAAGUGACUGCGUGAUGAGCAUCUUUGGCUGUUGCAGCAUGACUUUCACGAGACACCAUUGGACCACAAAAGAAGACCUUUCAUGUCGCAGCACUCGGUGAGAGCGCGGCUAGUGAAUAGAGCAACCACGUAACCCAAGCGCCUCUCCUCUCUUCAUGUCUUCCCGCUCUCCUCCUGGA